rnacentral:rRNA from 1 species
GUCGGUGUUGAUUGCGGCGAGGGUCCACCCGUUCCCAUUCCGAACACGGCAGUUAAGCUCGCCUGCGCCGAAAAUACUUGGCUGGAGACGGCCCGGGAAAAUAGGUAGCGCCGACA